UGCUUAGCAACUCCUAUCCCUACCUCCUCACGGUACUGGCCGGGGUACGAGCAACCUUAGGGAAGAUCAAAUAGCUAACCCCGGUGGGAACCUUGAUCGUAUGUUAACAGGAAAGG
rnacentral:ribozyme from 1 species